rnacentral:tRNA from 1 species
GCCUUCGUGGUGUAAUGGUCAGCACACUGAGCCGGUAUUUCAGAGGUCCGCGGUUCGAUUCCCGGCAAAGGCA